rnacentral:rRNA from 1 species
AUGGCUCUAGCAUCGCCGGUGGACUAUGCUGGCAUAAUCACUUCAAGUCAGAGGCAACUCAGUUCUGUGAUGCCCCGGUGCAAUGGCUUGCAAUGUACUAUUGGAUAUGGAAAUAAAUCAAGAGCUACAGGUCACUUGGUCGUCAGAGCCAUGUCCAUGGAUCGCCCGAAACUGGACUUUUCGAAUCCGAAUUGGAAGAAUCAAUUCCAAGAGGAUUUUGAUAGGCGGUUCAGUUUGCCGCAUUUGACAGACAUAAUUGAUGUGGAGUCGAGGCCAACAACAUUUUCUCUCAAGAGCAGGACCCCUCUGGAGAAUGUUGAUGGUUCUUUGGAAGAGUCAUGGAACGGCUAUGUUAAUGACGACGACAGAGCACUUUUGAAGGUUAUCAAGUUUGCCUCGCCAACGUCUGCUGGAGCUGAAUGCAUUGAUCCUGAUUGCAGCUGGGUUGAACAAUGGGUGCACCGGGCAGGCCCACGUAAACAAAUAUAUUUUGAGCCUCAGUGCGUAAAGGCUGGAAUUGUAACUUGUGGCGGACUUUGCCCUGGUCUCAACGAUGUCAUCCGGCAGAUUGUGCUUACGCUUGAAAAAUACGGAGUGAAAAACAUUGUUGGGAUACAGCAUGGUUUCCGCGGAUUUUUUGAAGACCAUUUAGCGGAAGUGCCGCUUAAUAGACAUGUCGUCCAAAAUAUCAAUCUUGCUGGUGGCGGGGCAAGUAUUUCAGACAUUGUCGACAGCAUCCAGGCCAGGAGGCUUGACAUGCUCUUUGUACUAGGUGGAAAUGGAACUCAUGCUGGAGCUGAUGCUAUACAUGGCGAGUGCCGGAAGAGAAAACUAAAAGUGUCGAUUAUUGGUGUCCCAAAAACAAUUGACAAUGACAUACUACUGAUGGACAAGACAUUUGGAUUUGAUACUGCAGUGGAGGCAGCACAAAGAGCUAUCAACUCCGCAUAUAUUGAGGCACAUUCCGCAUUUCAUGGCAUCGGAUUGGUGAAGCUGAUGGGAAGAAGCAGCGGAUUUAUCACAAUGCAUGCUUCCCUGUCAAGCGGGCAAGUCGACAUUUGCCUGAUACCUGAGGUACCAUUCACCCUUGAUGGACCGAAUGGAGUUCUUCGGCACCUUGAGCACUUGAUAGAGACCAAGGGGUUUGCUCUCAUGUGUGUCGCCGAAGGUGCUGGGCAGGAAUAUUUGCAGAAGUCGAACGCAACUGAUGCUUCAGGGAACAUGGUUCUUAGUGAUAUCGGUGUGCACCUUCAACAGAAGAUCAAGUCUCAUUUCAGAGAGAUAAACGUCCACUCUGAUGUGAAGUACAUCGACCCCACGUACAUGCUCCGCGCCGUGCGUGCCAAUGCGUCUGAUGCCAUCCUGUGCACGGUGCUCGGUCAGAAUGCUGUUCAUGGCGCCUUUGCAGGGUUUAGCGGCAUCACAACCGGAAUAUGCAACACGCAUAACGUUUACCUGCCAAUACCUGAAGUUAUCAAGACGCCAAGGCUUGUCGAUCCAAACAGCAGGAUGUGGCACAGGUGCUUGACAUCCACAGGUCAACCUGACUUUUGUUGA